rnacentral:tRNA from 1 species
ACUAUUUUGGCAGAAAAGUGCAUUAGAUUUAGAAUCUAAUAAUGUAAUUUUGGGUUACAAGUAGUA